rnacentral:rRNA from 1 species
GACGAACGCUGGCGGCGUGCUUAACACAUGUAAGUCGAACGGUGAAGUCCCUUCGGGGGCGGAUCAGUGGCGAACGGGUGAGUAACACGUGGGCAAUCUGCCCCUCACUGUGGGAUAACUCCGGGAAACCGGGGCUAAUACCGCAUAUGAAGCCUGGCGGCAUCGCCGGGUUUGGAAAGUUUUUCGGUGAGGGAUGAGCCCGCGGCCUAUCAGCUUGUUGGUGAGGUAAUGGCUCACCAAGGCGACGACGGGUAGCCGGCCUGAGAGGGCGACCGGCCACACUGGGACUGAGACACGGCCCAGACACCUACGGGAGGCAGCAGUGGGGAAUAUUGGGCAAUGGGCGAAAGCCUGACCCAGCGACGCCGCGUGCGGGAUGAAGGCCUUCGGGUUGUAAACCGCUUUCAGCAGGGAAGAAGCGAAAGUGACGGUACCUGCAGAAGAAGCACCGGCUAACUACGUGCCAGCAGCCGCGGUAAUACGUAGGGUGCAAGCGUUGUCCGGAAUUAUUGGGCGUAAAGAGCUCGUAGGCGGCUUGCUACGUCGGAUGUGAAACCCUGAGGCUCAACCUCAGGCCUGCAUACGAUACGGGCUAACUAGAGUGUGGUAGGGGAGACUGGAAUUCCUGGUGUAGCGGUGAAAUGCGCAGAUAUCAGGAGGAACACCGGUGGCGAAGGCGGGUCUCUGGGCCAUUACUGACGCUGAGGAGCGAAAGCGUGGGGAGCAAACAGGAUUAGAUACCCUGGUAGUCCACGCCGUAAACGGUGGGCACUAGGUGUGGGACCCUUCCACGG